rnacentral:SRP_RNA from 1 species
GCUGGGCAUGGUGGCUCACGCCUGUAAUCCUAACACUUCAGGAGGCUGAGGUGGGAGGAUCACUUGAGUCCAGGAGUUGGAGGCCAGCCUGGGCAACAUAGUGAGACCCCAUCUCUA